rnacentral:rRNA from 1 species
CCCUGCCCUUUGUACACACCGCCCGUCGUUUCUUCCGACUGAUACUCAUUGUGAGUUGCAAGGACCCUUCAUUGGGAAAUUGCUGCGAAUGCUUUGUAUUGGAGGAAGAAAAAGUCGUAACAAGGUUA